GGAGAGGUGCCCGGAGUGGUUGAUCGGGGACCGGCGAGUCCGCUCGAGGUCGGGCCCAUGCGGCCCACGCAGGUUCGAAUCCUGCCCUCUCCG
rnacentral:tRNA from 2 species